UAGCUUAGUUGGUAGUGCGUCUGCCUUGUAAGCACUAGACCGCGGGUUCGAUUCCCGC
rnacentral:tRNA from 1 species